rnacentral:rRNA from 1 species
UACGUAGGGGGCGAGCGUUGUCCGGAUUUAUUGGGCGUAAAGAGCGUGUAGGCGGCCAGGUAGGUCUGCUGUGAAAACUCGAGGCUCAACCUCGAGACGUCGGCGGAAACCAUCUGGCUAGAGUCCGGAAGAGGAGAGUGGAAUUCCCGGUGUAGCGGUGAAAUGCGCAGAUAUCGGGAGGAACACCGGUGGCGAAGGCGGUUCUCUGGGCCUUACCUGACGCUGAGGAGCGAAAGCGUGGGGAGCGAACAGG